ensembl:lncRNA novel transcript
GCACCCCCACAAAGACCAGCUACCUGAUUUGCACAACCCGGUACAAAAUGAAGAUGUGAGGGAUCUUGUAAGAAAAGGAAGAUAAAAAUGAUAUGAAAGAUUAAUAAGGAAGAACUGAAAAGAAAGGAAACUACUCUGUCCCGUCUUUACCUUUCCUUUUACUGACAUGGUUUGGCUCUGUGUGCCCACCCAAAUCUCACCUUGUUUGUGAUAAUCCCCAUGCAUCAAAGGACAGGACCAGGUGGAGAUAGUUGAAUUGCAGGGGCAGUUUCCACCAUGCUGUUCUGAUAGUGAGUGAGUUCUCAUGAGAUCUGAUGGUUCUGUAAGGGGCUUAUCCCUUCACUUGGCACUCAUUCUCUCUCUUGCUACCCUGUGAUGAGGUGCCUUCCACCAUGAUUUUAAGUUUCCUGAGGCCUCACCAACCAUGCAAACCUGUGAGUCAAACCUCUUUCCUUUGUAAACUACCCAGUCUUUGGUAUUUCUUGAUAGCAGCAUAAUAAGGGACUAAUACAUUACAUCAUCACUUUUGGAGUUAAUGGCUGGCUGCUACAAGAAUUAAUGAAAGAAGAAAAGAAUAA